rnacentral:RNase_P_RNA from 1 species
UUGGAAGGGCGGAUAGCCGCUCCGAACCUCGCCCAGCGGGGUUUCGGAGAGGAAAGUCCAGACUCCACAGGGCAUGAUGCCCCGCGCAAGCGGGGGACGCCAGUGUAAUGCUGGCGGACGGAAAGUGCCACAGAAACAAAACUACCCCGAAAUCAUUCGGGGAAAAGGUGAAACGGCGAGGUAAAAGCUCACCGCCCCGCCAGCAAUGACGGGGGCACGGAAAACCCCAUCAGGAGCAAGACCAAAUAGGCGGCAACGGCGCGGCCCGCGCCACCGGUCCCGUUUCGACGGGACGAUCAGCCGCGGGUACAGGUCGCAUAGACAAAUGGCUAUCAAAACAGAAUCUGGCUUACGGCCCUUCCAUUGAC